CUUCCCGUCCUUCCCUAAAAAAAUAACUCCUCCCGUCCUGAAAAGGCACUAGCCGCCUCCCCAAGCCCAACUCGCCGAAACCCAGCACCCCAUGACCCGAUCGAUCACCGAUGGCGUUCGGCGAGGUCAUGCCCUAGGCCUCAUCCUCGGCCGCCCUGACAGCGGAUCGAAUCAGCGUAGUUGGCGCAUGGGACGGCUCCCUGGAGGUGUACCUGGGCGCUUGGACGGGGCUGAUGCUGCGCGUCGAGGUGGCGCGGUGGGCCGGGGUCCCGGCGCAUGCCGUGGCGAGCUAAUCUCAACCUGACGCUGGUCACCAGCGCGGCAUCAUGCCACCUGGCCGGCGCUGCAGCGACGUGGUUAAGAGGGAGGUGGAUGAGGCAGAGUCUGCGCUCGGCGUCGCGGAGAUCUGGAGGAUACAUGAUUGUGUGGACACAGCGGCGGCGUGGCCGGGUGGGGCGGCAUGUUGAUUUUCUUGGGGGUAGGUUUUUGCUGCUGGUGACCUUUUAAGAAAUUUAAGAGAUCCAGUGCACGGAAAGAUGCUAUUGAGUUGGGAGACCAGGUGGAUUUGAAGCUCAUUGGUCAACGUUCAGUCAAAUUUCAUAUUGAACAGUUAGUCUGCAUAUGAGAACACACGUAUGUCAAUGGAUAAGCAAUUGACCUCUAAUCAAUCAAGGUUUGCAAACUCAUCCAGAUCUCAAUCUUAAUGGUUCAAGAAUCAACAUUUACACUUUAAAGUGUAUUCAUUGACCAAUUCUUUUUGAAAUAUGCAUCUGGGCCAUCGAAGGCAAGAUGCUUAUGUUAUGUUUUUAUUCUGAUGACAAAUUAUCUUCUUUGCCUGUUGGUAGCUGCUCAUGAGAAAUUAGGAUAUAUUUUUACUGCUUUAGAUGCAAGCAUCUUCUUUUCCAUGGGCCUGCAGCUAUUUGUUUGGAAAUUAAGUUGAAGUUAACGACAUUUGUUAUUCUGCAUGGGCAGGGAUGCAGAGUAUUAAAUAUUUCUAGGACAUAAAGUACAUCGGCAAUUUAAGUAUUUAAGUAGUGUAUCAAUUUUCACUGUAUUCUCAGUUUUAAUCUUAGUGUAGCUUAUGCCCAGAUCUUUAGUAUAUGAUUAAUCUCAUCUAUUUCUUGUGAGAUGCCGACUGAAUAAGGAAACCAGUAAAGUUUCCCGUUCUUAGAUCUAAUGCUUCCUCUCUCUCAAUAUGAUAACCAUCUAAAUUGUUAUUAUUAUUUACACUGUGAUGCUAAUCUUAUUUGUUUUGAAAAAGAUGAAUCUACAUGAUAGAUAUGAACUCAGUGAAUAAAAUUUGGGACUAACAUUCAAGCACAAUAAUGUGAAUACAACAUAUGCCUGCUGGUGUGCUGGAAUUCACCAGUUGUAUCAAGAAAACAAAAAGUAAAACAGGUAUGCCAAAUGAGUGAAAUUUCUUAUUCUACUCUUUACAGCUAAAAGCAUAAUCUGCCUUAUUUUUCUACCAAGAUACCCGAAUAGUUAUAGUCAAUAUAUUGGUUUUCUUGGUUUUGACCCGGAAACUCGAUGUAGUUGUAACCCCCGGUAUGAUUGAAAAUCUAAAAUUAUAAUUUCACAUGACUAAAUGUCCCCAUUAAAUUUAUUUCUGUUGUCUCUAGAAUUAACAGUGCUUCAAAUGAUAAUUUCCAACUACCACUCUUAGAUAUUGGUUCAUCGUUUGCACUCUUAAAAUUACAAUGUGUUUUGUCGGAGCUGGUUUGCCCUGAUCUCACCAAUCCAAUAACUCAUGAAUUUUUUAUCUAUUUGAAUUACAUAAUACAGGGUUAAAUAUGUAGACGUGUGAUUCUUUGUUUUAGUUGUCUCCCGCUGAACAUAUAUUCUUAGCUGCGUAUUUUUUAGUUUUCUGCAGGUUGUUGGGAAUGUUAAUUCAAUCAGUGCUCUACUUGACAGGUCUUGACUUCUUUAUUACUUAUUACUUGCUUAACAACCGUUUUUAAAAAAUGCGUAGCAAUCUGUUGUAGCUGUAAUAUAUUGAGUCGACAAACUAUGCUAUAAUCUUCUUAGCCUUUGCCAUAAUUUCAAGCAAGAAUUUGGCGGGACUAACAUUUAUUUGCAGGCAAAAGAGAGAGUACAACUUUAUCACGUGCGAGUGUGAUGAAAUGAUAGCCCCAAAUUUCAAUACAGCGUUGAGGAGAAGUACUACAUCAUUGAUGGUAUAUCUUGUUAAUUUCUUAGUAUCUUGGAACAGUGAUGUGCCAUGUUAACAAGUGAUGGCUAAUUUGUGUGUUGUUUGUAAUCUUUGCAGUUUUGAGUACUGGUCUCACCUUCUUUGAUUGAUAAUUUUUUUACUCUUUCACGUCAUUUACUUCAAAGUUUGAGUUUUCCCUCAUAUAUAUACACAUUGAUAUGGUUACGAGUAAGGGAUGUGGAUCAAUUUGCACGUAGGGUAAGGGCAUGUGAAUUUUUUUCUCCCGUUGCAACGCACAGGCAACUUUGCUAUUCAAACCUAUAGCCUAUAAUAAACCCCAGUUUGUUAAUCAAGUUUAAACAUUUCAGUUCCGUUUUUGGGUCGGAAUUUCAGUGGCCAUGUAAGACUGGAAAUUGCUCAUCAUGUGUUCCUUAAUGUAUAUUGUGCCAAUAGCUAUUAAACCUUCGAUAUGCUGGAGGGCGAUGAGGUGGCAUGGAGCUAAACAUAGAUUGAAGAUUCUGUCAUGGGUUCCUUAGAGAAGAUGGAACAAAUGAGUAUGGAGAUCCAGCUGUUGAAGAUGCCGAGGGACAAGAACAUUCAGAAGUUUUUCGCCUAACAAGAAUACAUUUAACAUCAUCACAGAUUGCUUUAGGUAAGCUUUACUCAGGUUGCUACUCAUGUCAUAGUGUCUAUAAUUUAGCUAGAGUCAGGUUCAGAGUUGACUGAUUUUUUUUGGCACAACCAUCAAGCAACCUGAGUAAAGCUGACCUAAGCCAAUGAUUUUGUUCUUUUAGCUAGAGCCAGGUUCAGAGUUGUUCACUCGGGAUUUUUUGGGCACGGACAUCAAGCAAGCUAGCACGUAUUGUUUAACUGAAGGAAAGGGCAACUAAGCUUUGAAUGCUACAUUCUUUGUUCUGAACAAAUGUAGCUACUAUUUGUAUUCGAUGCUGGACUCCUGGUAACAAUUUAUUACUGUACAUGUUAUUUCUUUUUUUGGUGAGUCUUUUCUAGGAUUAUGGAGUUAACGGGUGUUACUUUUGACCUGCUAAUACAGUUGUGUUAAACUUUUUGCUCUUCGAAAGCAACUAUGUAAGUCUGACGCUAACAUAGUGUUUACUGCUAAAAUACUUUAGUUUAACUUAAGAGUCAGGAGCACAAGUAGAAUUUCAUAGAAAUCUGUCUAGCUCCUGUAGAUGAAAGACUUCCUGCAAGUGAGCUCUUGAAUAACUCUUACCUCCAGGAAGAUGAGGUCUAUCCCAGCGCCUCCAGUUUCAGUCUCUCUGGUCUCAAGUGUGACUGAAGAUAGGUGGCAAUCUGCAAGUUUCGUGCUUUGGAAAGGCUGUUUAAAGAAUGCUGAGUUGUCAAGCGAGGUGCUGCAGUGGCUGGCGUUGCCGGGCAUGGGACAACGUCCCUAGGCUCCUGCUUGAGGCAAGCCUCUCCGACCUCCUCGGAUGCCUUCUAGGAACUGGCACUGCGUAUGAUGGCCUCCUCACCUAGAACCUAGGUUGACCUAGCCACUGCCAUCGAAGCGGAGAGUUGACAACAUAUGUAUGAUUGUUCGACGGUGUCAGUCCUGCCAUUGGAAUGUUCAAAACUAUGAAUUGAGUGAUUACAAAUAUGCUUUGAUCAAUGAAAUGAAACGAAAUUUUGCUACAUCUUGUUGUGCAGAUAUAGGGCUUGAAUUAUUUUCGGUCGUAUCAUCUUGGCCCUAUAAUAAAAAAGCGAGUGUGGGAGGACGCGACCAGUUGCUACCAGUAUCAAGGUGCACUUGAUGUGUAGUAUUCAGUCAAUGAGAACCAUAGAAAAAUGGAGGCACCGACUCUAGGAGUAUAUAUCCGCUCCCAAAAAAAGUGUGCUAUAUAUUGAAUGGUUCAAUAUAGGUUAGUGAAUUUGAGGCAGCAAAAGGCUUUAGAGCUAAAAUCAAUAGGAAAUGGUAUUUGUUUCUUAAGAAGUUUUUUGAUAAAUGUAAAAAAGAAAAUGAAUUAGUUAGUAGAGAAAAGGAGACCAUGACUUGUUUCUCUAUUUAUCCUUGCUCCACACAUGUUGUGAUUAGAGGACACUGUGUAAUCGCUGGCAGUGAGGGACUAAGAUAAGUGGUGACAUGGUGUCGGCGGUGGACUAAGAUAAGUGGUGACACGGGUGGGACACCAUGUUGAAAUAGAGGACGUUGAAUUGUGGGGGUCUUGAGCCGUAUUUAUCAGCCCGUUGCAACGCACAGGCAUGUUUACUAGUUAGAAAUAAAGCACGGAUUGAGUCUCUGGAUUCACCAUCGCGGCGCUUUUGCAAAAACGUUUCAAUCUUGCAAAAAGACCAUGUAGUUUUUUGGUAUUCAACCCACGCUCCUUUUUGAAGUGGCAGCACACACGAGCAUAUGCAUGCUCUCCUCGAUGCAACAGGCGGCGCCGCCGCGGGCGCUCCUCGAUCCAUACGGGCGGCGCCACCGCCACCUGCGGCUGGUCUUCUUCUCCAGCCAUCUGCCGCCCUUCUCCCCUCCCCAUUCGUUGCCCUCCUCUACCCUCCCGCCCCUAAUCUUCUCUGGCACUACCCCCAGCCUCCUGCUGCCGUGCCUCGAUCCAUACGGGCGUCACCGCCAGCGGGGGGCGGUCUUCUUCUCCGGCCAUCCACCGCCCUCCUCCCCUCCCCCUCCCUCCUAUUCUUCUUCUUCUUCUCCGGCCAUCCGUCGCCCUCCUCAAAUCCCGCGGAGUUCGCCGGAGGAAGAACAUCCGCCGUCCGAACGUGCUACACCAGAGGGAAGCACCGGAAAGUGGAUGUUUCUAUGCAGCAUCACCCAAAAGUUUAAUUUGAGAUAUUCCAUCAAGCGUAUGUUCCAUAGCCUCCAUCAUGUAGUUUAUUUCCUUUGCUUCAGGUUGUACAGAGGAUUUCCUUUGUUUCAGGUUGUACAGAGGAGCUCAACGACAACUAAGGUGCUGCUAGAAUUACAUCAGCUACUAACUUACAUACAUAUAAAAAUAAACUGCAGCUUUAGCUCCAUGUAGUAAUGACUAAGUAUAUUCUAAUGCUCAUAGGGACUGAUUACUAUUUUUUACAGGUUAAUUUAAUCAAUUCCUUGGCGUACUUUAGGAAACGAGGAUAUAUUGGGUGGUCUCCGACAGCCCGACGACAAUACAGAGUCGUCGUAGUUGGGUUGUGUUCAUGUAACACUGAAACUUGACAUAGUUAGUAUAAGAAGGUUUGGUUUACUUCCACUAUGUUACUGUUCAGUCUAUUUUAUAAACAUGUUGAUUAGCCAUUCUGGCAAAGAGGCAUCUUCAAUAUUUCAGAAAUCUCUUUUCCAGAAACUCCAAUUCUCCUCAUAGGAAUUGAGAUGCCCAAUAUUUCUCAAUUUGCUGACAAGGUUGUAAUAUAAUCACGUUUUGCUAUUGACGUAAUGAUAUAUUCCUUGACUGAAAGCAAACCCUUUAAUUGCAUCUGUACUAAGCAUUCUUUCCGUCUAUAUCCUGUCAUGAUUUUUUUACUAGCUGUAGUGGUGUUCUUAUUAUUGUCAUUUUCCAGAAUUAUUGUCAUUUCACAGAUGGUAUAAACCUUGUUCAUGGCUAACUUAUAGAAUAGCAAACCUGGUUCAUGGCUAACUUAUAGAAUAGCAAACCUUGUUCAUGGCUAACUUAUACAAUAGCAGUAACUGAUUUGAAACCAUCAAUCUCAGGAACACUCUGACCAUGUAUUUGAUUCUGUUAAAGACCCAAUAUGUCAUGUGGUCCUGCAUCUCCUGAUGUUGGUAUUUCCAGUAAAUUUUAUUGACAGGCACUUUGGUGUCUCAGCAACCAGGUCGCCACCGACCACCACGGUGGCUCGCAGCGAUGCCCUCCCGCCACCGUAUGUACGACCAGCGGCGAGAUGGGGGGAACUCUUUGGCAUGCCGGCACACAGGAACGACACAUGCCGUACAACCUGAAGGUCACGUUCGUCAGGCUUGACUUGACCCUCACCGACGCCACCUUGCCACCUCUGUUGCCGGAGAUCAGCCGAAGAUUAGCUUGUUGCCGCUUUGCUUCAAUGGUUGCUUUAAUGCUUAAAACAUCAGAGUAUUUUUUUAGUUACAGAUUUGGCAAUACCCAGGACAUUAUGUUUCUCCAAUUCAACUAUUGGCUUUCAAGGUGGCAGUGUCAGCCAUUGCUGCUAUCACAGGAUCAUGUGACUGUAUAUUUGGUUUUUGUCAGAAUAUGAGGAAAAUGACUCUUUUGUAGUGAGAUGUGACUGCUGAAGGAAAUAUGCCCUAGAGGCAAUAAUAAAGUUAUUAUUUAUUUCCUUAUUUCA